rnacentral:rRNA from 1 species
CCUACGGGUGGCAGCAGUGAGGAAUAUUGGUCAAUGGGCGCGAGCCUGAACCAGCCAAGCAGCGUGAAGGAUGACUGCCCUGCGGGUUGUAAACCUCUUUUAUAAAGGAAUAAAGUGAGGCACGUGUGCCUGUAUGUAUGUACUUUAUGAAUAAGGAUCGGCUAACUCCGUGCCAGCAGCCGCGGUAAUACGGAGGAUCCGAGCGUUAUCCGGAUUUAUUGGGUUUAAAGGGAGCGUAGACGGGUUGUUAAGUCAGUGGUGAAAGUUUGCGGCUCAACCCUAAAAUUGCAAUUGAUACUGGCAGCCUUGAGUUGAGUUGAGGUAUGCGGAAUUCGUGGUGUAGCGGUGAAAUGCUUAGAUAUCGCGAAGAACUCCGAUUGCGAAGGCAGCUUACUGAACCCCCACUGACAUUGAUGCUCGAAAGUGUGGGUAUCGAACAGGAUUAGAUACCCCUGUAGUC